UAGGGAAUAUUGCACAAUGGGCGAAAGCCUGAUGCAGCAACGCCGCGUGCGCGAAGAAGGUCUUCGGAUCGUAAAGCGCUUUUCUGGGAGAUGAGAAAGGACAGUAUCCCAGGAAUAAGUCUCGGCUAACUACGUGCCAGCAGCCGCGGUAACACGUAGGAGGCGAGCGUUAUCCGGAUUCACUGGGCGUAAAGCGCGUGCAGGCGGUUCGGUAAGUUGGGCGUGAAAUCUCCCGGCUCAACUGGGAGAGGUCGUUCAAUACUACCGAACUUGAGAGCGAUAGAGGAAAAUGGAAUUCCCGGUGUAGUGGUGAAAUGCGUAGAUAUCGGGAGGAACACCAGUGGCGAAAGCGAUUUUCUGGAUCGUUUCUGACGCUCAGACGCGAAAGCUAGGGUAGCAAACG
rnacentral:rRNA from 1 species